UAGAAGAUUACAAGAAUAAGUUAAUUAUACACCAAAUAUUUUAGAUAUGAAAUAUACAAUAUAGCUGGUCUGUUACAAUGUAGCCUAAACUAGUUAAGAGUUGUUCCAAAAGAAAGUUGCUUGAUCACUGAGGGGGGUUGUGGAUUUAGGAGGCCGUGGGAUGUCAAUCGUGGGGUCCUAAAGUUUAGCGUCAUUUCUUAAGUCUAAUGUCCUAUUUGUUAGGGAUUCACGCCUCUGAUCCAACAGGUUGGGCUAAUUGCAUACUGGACCUUUCCUAUAGUCAAGCCCAACCAAAGGGUUAUCUUGAGAAUGAUCAAUUAGAGUGACUCCAAUGGUUUGAGUUAUUUUUGCAAGUCAAAGUAAUUUUCUAGUUUGUUACGAUGUCAAAAAAUAACAAUGUUGUUGUAUUGCUGCAAUGCUAUUUUAGAAAAUUGUCAUGAAAAUGUUGAGCAAAUUACCUGAAAAACAAUCAAAGGGCACACCCAUUUAAUUAUGUUAGUCUAUGCAUCACAAAAAUGUAAGGAUGAUGAAUUUCCACAUUCCACUUAAAUCAAUUAGGACUUUUU
rnacentral:lncRNA from 1 species